UUCCCUUCCAAUAUGACUAAGGCUUACUUUGGUAUUAAGACCUAUCUAACGCAAUUAGAUAAAAUUGGGUUGAAAAAAAAAUAUAUAGGGAUUUACUUCUAUGUUCUCCGAUGGGAUUGUAAAUAAUAUAUCGUAAUCAACUAAUCGCGAUACACGGAACGCAAUAUUACGUAAGAAAACAAACAUGAUAUUUUUCCAUCGUCUUUUCUCGCCGCACAUAACGUAAUCUUUUCGCAAUCCCAAACAAAACCUAAGUGGUCCUCAAUAUCAAAAUGAUUACUUAAAGGCCCUUUUGGUAUUGUGGCCCAUUAACACUAAUAGAUAAAAUACAAUUAGGACAAAAGUAUGUAAAGCUGUGUUUCUGUGUUUUUCAUUGGGACUGUGAAAAAUAUAUCGUAACCAACUCAUUAUGAUAUGCAGACCACAAAAUUACAUAUGAAAAUAAGUAUAAAAUUCUUUUGUUGUACUUUCUCAUCGUAUGUUACGUAAUUUUUUCG
rnacentral:lncRNA from 1 species